AUUGAACGCUGGCGGCAUGCUUUACACAUGCAAGUCGAACGGUAACAGGCCGCAAGGUGCUGACGAGUGGCGAACGGGUGAGUAAUGCAUCGGAACGUGCCCAGUCGUGGGGGAUAACUGCUCGAAAGAGCAGCUAAUACCGCAUACGAUCUAUGGAUGAAAGCGGGGGACCGUAAGGCCUCGCGCGAUUGGCGCGGCCGAUGUCAGAUUAGGUAGUUGGUGGGGUAAAGGCUCACCAAGCCAACGAUCGUUAGCCGGUCUGAGAGGACGACCAGCAAAACGGGGACUGAGACACGGCCCAGACUCCUACGGGAGGCAGCAGUGGGGAAUUUUGGACAAUGGGGGCAACCCUGAUCCAGCAAUGCCGCGUGCAGGAAGAAGGCCUUCGGGUUGUAAACUGCUUUUGUACGGAACGAAACGGUCUGGGUUAAUACCCUGGGCUAAUGACGGUACCGUAAGAAUAAGCACCGGCUAACUACGUGCCAGCAGCCGCCGUAAAAC
rnacentral:rRNA from 1 species